GAAAACUUUUGCGCUCGAAUUUUCCGCUGCCACAAAAGUAUUCGGAACUUGUUAACACCUCAUCGCCCUCGGAAUUGAAGUGAAACGCCUCCGUUCGGCACUGCAGGUCCGUGGCUAGCUGUGUGCGGGAGUUGACAAGUUGCAGUUCGCAUUUGAAUUGCAGCACCUGAUCACGGGGCGCCUCCACCGAGUAGCGGCAGGAAGUUCCCACCGGAUACCAGCCAGGAUAAUAGGGAGAGUUGAUGAGCAGCUUCUGUCCCGUUGACAGCGUCACCUGAUGAUUGCACUCCUCGAACAGCGCCACAACGGAGUGGAACAGCCACGGCAACAGCAACAGCAACAGUAGUCGCCACAUGAUCACGAUCGCGGCAACGUCCAAAGCGGCACUGAGCGAUGCCCCAACAGCCGCAGCCUCUUAAGAAUGCCGCAGACACACCACCUAUUGUGGUGCCCGUCACGCGAUCUACCUACAUCGUAACAGACCUGUCUCUCAACACCUAGACACCUCGACACCCACGCUCUGUUCCUGCUUUAAAUACGAGUUAAUUAUGGCCUUAAAGAAAUCUCAAACACUUCGUUUGCCGAAAAAGAAAAGAAACCCGCAAAGAAACACACGGCCGGCCGUGGCACACGAGGGGGUCUUUUGCGGCUAAUUGAAAGAAAGUGCAAGUGUGUCAAUCGGAAACCGGUUUCAAGUUUAUGGAACACCUCGAAUAUUGUAGCUGGAACGGUGGCAACCGUUUCUGGCUCCCGUUUGGGGUAGGUAGGGAUCUGAUCAUUCUGGCACGUAAUUUACUUGAAACUCGACUCUUCCCCUCAAAAAAAUGUGUUUAAGCCUUUGAUAAUUACUUUAUUUUCAUUGGCUCGUUAGAGCCAGCGCAUAAAAAUAAAAACCUUAGACACAGCCAUGCCAUGCCAUGGCAGCCGUAUUCCCCGGGAUCUCUUUUGGCCACCCACUUCUCACCCGCCCAUCCCCUGCUCAUUUUUUAGACCAUUUGCAGAGCUGCUUAAUUGGAUGUGCUGCAUGUGGGAGAAAGGACACACACGGCAACUACUCGUGGAAGCGACUAAAAAAAGGAGCCGCGCCACAGACAAGUUUGUCGCCCAUUUUGUAAAAUAAAUACGAGUCAGAGUCCGAGAGUAUAUAGAAAAAAGGAGGGAAGACGGAUGGCGCCGCGUUCUGUCAGAGGCGCAGAGACAAACGCUUAAUGCUAAUAUUAUUUUCUUGCUUAACAAGCGAUGAGCUACACGGUGGGGCACAGUCGCCAACGGGCAGGGGGGAUCGGUACGGUGGAGUCCGGACGCCAGCAUGUGACUUAUUUGCACAAACCAUAAAAAAUUUAACUUUAUUUCGCCAUUUUUAAUUUCCUACUCCGCGGAUCGCGACGUGGCUGGGCGCAUUCGGCGUAAACAGUCAACGUUGGACAAUAACUACAAAACCGGAGCCGGAGACCGACGCCAGAGCCAGAGCCCGAGCCCUAGAGUGGGCCCUAGACGUGGCAUGGGUAUCGCUCCCCUCCCACCAUGCAUAAGCCAGGAGAACAAUGCUGGACACCAGCAGAAAAAACAAAAAAUGCUUGGCCGGAGCUGCUGUUCCUGUUCCUGCUGCUCCUGCUGCUCCUGCUGUUGAUGCCGCUUUCCUUUCCAUCCUUUUUUUUCGUUUUGGCACAGAGCGAGCGGGAAAAACAAACAGCAAAUAAUUCAAAGUGGAUACAACUAAAGCAAAGUCAAAGCUAAUAUACGAAAAUGUAAUAAAAAUUAAAAAGAAAUAAAAGCGAAUUAAAAUGAAUUUCGAAGGAAAAGCAAAGAACCUUCUGGCGCAUAAAUGAAAAAACACUGGAGCAGCGAGCAGCCACAUGGCUCGGGAUUGGGACAUUGGAGGCGUGAGGCUGCAGCCCCAGCACCACAUAAAGCGACAGAUGUAGGACUUCCCCUCUGCGACCCCAGGGAUGACACAUGCGAGUGGACAAACGGUGGACCUACGAAGGGAAGGAGGACAGGAUGCCAUACAUACAUAGUAUCAUUUCUAUUUUAUUUAAUUAUAUCUGUCUACAAAACAUUUUUUGAAUUGUCAAUUCUGUGAUGAUAAAUUAUAGGUACAUAUCUACAUUUUCAAGUGCAAUUUCAUUUCGAAUUCUUCCGUUAAUCAUAUUUUUGGCACAUUGUUCUGUAAGCCUUAAUUUUAUGAACUGAAACUUACUUGGAAUAUAUUCUGACAGGUGCGCCAUCUACAUUGCAAUCCAAGAGACGAGGAACUUUUACUUGUGAAUCAGAUGGAGCCAGUAGGACGUACAUCAAAUAUAACUAAUCUUCUGCGUCAAGCCGAUGUACAACUCACAGCGUCCGCGUCGUGGCCAUGUGGCCAUGGCGAUGUGUGCGGGUUGAAUGGUUGGGACGAAUGCCUGACUACGUGGAACAAAAACAGAAGCGUCGCAAGAACUAUGCGCUCGUACCAGAUUGAGCUAUUGGCCAUUGUUCAUACCCUGCAUGGAUAGAAUUUGGCCAAUGAAGAGUCUGGCAACAACGUGAAGAAAGAUCGCCUCCUGCAUCCCCUGGACAUCUAUGCCCAUUGACUGAGCAAGUUCUACAAGGGUGGCGUCGUUGCACAGAGCAAGACGGCCGGCCUGUUCGAGACCCUCAGAGAUGCCACCGACGAGCAGGUUUGCUAUACUUAGUUGGCUCUGCUGGUUGACAACGAUUGCUUAGACUGCCUACAGCAGCGGAGCGGAACUGCCAGAUGAUCCUCAACUGCACCAUGCUAGCAUCGGCUUAGACAGACAGACCACGCACUCGCAAAGAUCCUGUGGAAAUAACUGAUGGAGCUGGAUGAGCUGGCCUUGACUUAUGGAUCCCAAUAAAUGGAACUCUACCCUUUGACGACAACGAGGAACUGUAGUCCAUUUGCAGAUUGGGCUCCACUGUGCAAGCGACUUGGUUGCAGGCGGCAGGUUAAGAUUAAGAUUAAGAUAGAUCAUAUGUAUAAUCAUAUGUAAAUACUAAUAAGUUUUACCAAUAAAAAUUGUAGCAUACUUUUA